AAUGAACGCUGGCAGCAUGCCUAACACAUGCAAGUCGAACGAAGGCUUCGGCCUUAGUGGCGCACGGGUGCGUAACGCGUGGGAAUCUGCCCUUUGGUUCGGAAUAACAGCUGGAAACGGCUGCUAAUACCGGAUGAUGACGAAAGUCCAAAGAUUUAUCGCCAGAGGAUGAGCCCGCGUUGGAUUAGGUAGUUGGUGGGGUAAAGGCCUACCAAGCCGACGAUCCAUAGCUGGUCUGAGAGGAUGAUCAGCCACACUGGGACUGAGACACGGCCCAGACUCCUACGGGAGGCAGCAGUGGGGAAUAUUGGACAAUGGGCGCAAGCCUGAUCCAGCAAUGCCGCGUGAGUGAUGAAGGCCCUAGGGUUGUAAAGCUCUUUUACCCGGGAAGAUAAUGACUGUACCGGGAGAAUAAGCCCCGGCUAACUCCGUG
rnacentral:rRNA from 1 species